AUGGACGUCCACAAGGUCAAGAGGCCGGGCUUGUGCUUGUUGUUGCUCCUGGCAUUCCUCAAGACCUACUCUCACUCUAUGUGUGUGGACUUUCCUUGCCAUAGUCACUGCAAGCAUGAGGGCUUCUUAGGCGGGGAUUGCCACCCGUUCGGUGACCACUGGAAACCUGCCUAUUACUGCCUGUGCGAGUACCCCUGUGGCUGA
rnacentral:rRNA from 1 species